GCGAGGACGCUGGGCCCCAAAGUGGGGUGGAUUGUGAUAUUCCACAUCAGUUAAAGAGGGAAACGAAACAUGUCUUAUGAGGUUGUGGAAACCUCUCCCUAGCAUAUGAGUUUUAAAACCGUGAGG